ensembl:lncRNA
CACAAUCAUGAAGUGGAACGACAUUUAUUGGAUAUUUCAAAGUUUUUUAACAAAUCAAAAACUGAAAAAUUGGGCGUGCAAAAUAAAUAAAUAAAGAACCUGGAUGUGGGCCAAAGACUGACUGGGUUAGUAACUUUAUUUAACAUGUUUAUAAUCAGUGACGGCAUGUAAGACAAUGUAUGAUAUAACACAAUGGAUGGAUAAUUCUUCAUACUGCAUUGAUAUUAGAUAUUAUUUAUAACGUGUUACACUUUGUUUUGUUUUGAUUGAAUGUUUUGCAUGCCAACGGUGGUUCCAUGUGCUGUGCCAAGGAAGGAAGACAAGGGUUCAGAAUGAAGAACACAAACUGGAAGUGAUGUCUUUGUUGUUGAAAAUGUCUGCUCUACCCCAUCCACACUGAAGAGGCUCUGACAUGUACAUCAACCAGGGAUAAUGUCUGCUCUACCCCAUCCACACUAAAGAGGCUCUGACAUGUACAUCAACUAGGGUUAAUGUAUGCUCUACCCCAUCCACACUGAAGAGGCUCUGACAUGUACAUCAACCAGGGUUAAUGUAUCCUAUUCCCCAUCCACACUGAAGAGGCUCUGACAUGUACACCAACCUGGGAUAAUGUAUUCUCUACCCCAUCCACACUGAAGAGGCUCUGAAAUGUACAUCAACCAGGGAUAAUGUCUGCUCUACCCCAUCCACACUGAAGAGGCUCUGACAUGUACAUCAACCAGGGAUAAUGUCUGCUCUACCCCAUCCACACUGAAGAGGCCCUGACAUGUACAUCAACCAGGGUUAAUGUAUGCUAUACCCCAUCCACACUGAAGAGGCUCUGACAUGUACAUCAACCAGGGAUAAUGUAUGCCUUAACCCAUCCACACUGAAGAGGCUCUGACAUGUACAUCAACCAGGGAUAAUGUAUGCCUUAACCCAUCCACACUGAAGAGGCCCUGACAUGUACAUCAACCAGGGAUAAUGUAUGCUAUACCCCAUCCACACUGAAGAGGCUCUGACAUGUACCUCAACCAGGGAUAAAGAGAAAGUUAACACUGAAAUGUUUCAUGCUUAAUUGAAGUUAAGUGUCUGUUGACAUGUUGGAAAAUAUUUUUGUCUACAAUUUCUGUUUAAUUGGUCAAUAUUCAAUUUUUAUUAAUUGAUAUUUCUGGCCACCAUUACUGUGGUUACAUGUUCAGUAUAUGUAUUGACCAGCAAGCCCACUGCAGCCUACCUCACCAGCUCACUCUCCAUCCCUGUUCAGUAUAUAUAUUGUCCAGCCUACCUCACCAGCUCACUCUCCAUCCCUGUUCAGUCUACCUCACCAGCUCACUCUCCAUCCCUGUUCAGUAUAUGUAUUGUCCAGUCUACCUCACCAGCUCACUCUCCAUCCCUGCUUUGGACAAUUAUUAGCAUGACUCUCGUACUUUGCCCUUUUCCUUUAUGGUUGAUAUUAACGACGAAAGGAGAUAUUAUCUGUCCCUCUCCUAUUGUGUACCGCGGUUAAAUACUGUGGCAAAAUAAAAAAACAGGGAAAAUAAGUACUUAGAACGACCAAUUAUUAUAGAUAAAUAUUAAAGAAAAGGGUUAAACACAACACUGGACUGAACCCCCUAAUUGUAAAACUAAUAUUAAUGUGCAACAAUAUAGAAGAUACAUGACUAGAGGUUAUGCAAUAUGGCUGUAUAUCCACUGCACGCUUCUUAGGUGUGUAUUUGACAUGACCAAGGAGCCAUUGAAAUGUAAAACUAUGAGAAAUGUACAUUACACUAGGUGAUUCUACAGAACACAAACAGGAGUGUGUAAUAUAUAAGGCUAGUCCGUGGACAUUCUGAACCUUGUUUGAAGUCAGUAGGUCACAUGACCAAGGAACUAUUGAAAUUAUAAAGUUUGAAAAUGAAUGUAAAAACGUGAGGUGAAAAUGGACAAAUUAAAUGGUGUGUAAUGUGUAGGUCCACUGACUGUACAUUCUGAACCUUGUUUGAAGUCAGUAGGUCAUAUAACCAAGAGCUAUUGAAACGUGUGAGAUGAAAAUGAACAAAUCAAAGGUUUUGCAGCAUAGAAGGGUAGUCAGUGGACAUUCUGAUCCUUUUUGGGUCAAGUACUAUUGAAAUUCAAAUGUAAAAAAAGUUUGUACUUUGUUUACACUCCAUAUCGAAUUCAACUAGUAAUACAAAAUGCUGCUCACAUUUCCACAUGUUUUCUAGCUUUGGAAAGCGAAUUCAUGUCCAAAUCGUGAAAAUAGCUGUGCAAUGUUGUGCGCAAUUUUCCAACAUCUUGAUCCUUAUUUGGAGUCUGUGGCUCAAGUGGUUUGAAAGCUAUUGAGGUUUGAAAGCGUGAAUAUCCGUGGAAAAUCCAAAUGAAACUGUUUUUAACUCGGUACUUCGUUUCACCUUUUUUCAAUUGACAUUUCUUUGUAUAUAUCCAUAAAAAUGAUAGCAGGUGAUUCAUGAUUUCGACUGGCUGAGAAAUGCAGGCUGUUUGUCUCUUCCCGACUCUGGACACAUUCAUUACCAUGGUACAGUUGGAGAAACACAAACAAACUAAUGUUUGGAUGUCGUGUGAGCAUGCGGCUUUGUUGCGUGUUCAGGGGAAUAGAGAUGCGCAUAAACUGGCAGCCGUUUCAACGCAGGCCAGAGGCAAUUCUUAUUAGUUUCGUAAAACACGUCAGAAUUGGCUUUUCAGUAGGGAGAAAUGUUUAGCUUGCUGUAUAGAUAUAUUCCAGAGGAGGCUGGUGUGAGUAGCUAUAGGAGGAAUGGAUCAUUGUAAUGGGAAUGGUACCAAAAACAAACUCAUGGAAACAAUGUGUUUGACUCCAUGCCAUAUAUUUCAUUCAAGCCAUUACAAUGAGCCCUCCCUCCUAUAGCUCCUCCAAACCAGCCUCCUCUGAUAUACAUAACAUGCAAUAUUAAAUCACAUGGUUACUUUGGAUACAGUACAUUUCACGUGUCGAAGUAAAAAAUCAAUUUUAAAAAAUGAAUGAAUAUUUCCAUGUGUUCAUGGGUAGCCAGUGGUUAGAGCGUUGGACUAGUAACCGAAAGGUUGGAAGUUCAAAUCCCCGAGCUGACAAGGUACAAAUCUGUCGUUCUGCCCCUGAACAGGCAGUUAACCCACUGUUCCUAGGCCGACAUUGAAAAUAAGAAUUUGUUUCUAACUGACUUGCCAUGUUAAAUAAAGGUGCUUUUAUACACAUACAGCAUAUCAGUCCAUCCCACAUGCAAAUGAAGUUCCUUCCCUCAGUCCUUCUGCCACCAUUAUCUUUUAGUUCAAGUGUCUUGCUUGUUCACGUCCAUCUCUGCUUUUGGUUAGUUUAUAAUGGUGGCAGGACCCUUUCAUGUCCUAAAAAACAUAAUAUAUCUAUCAUGCUUAUGUCCUAUCUGUUGGUCCGUUGGCAAGCACUCUCCUUGGUGUGUCCUUCUAGUAUUGAUUUGUCCUGGUGUUCUAAGUGCUUCUGGCUUUGGCCUUUGCACUUAUGUUCAGCUUAAUGUACUCUUGGGUAUUGGCCUUCGCGCUUAUGUCCUUGCUACUUAGUAUAGCAUCUGCCCAGCCUAUCAAUAAUAUAUUACACUAGCUCCCACACUUCUUGCUUGCGUCCAGUCUCUCUGGAUGUAUCCUGUUGGUUGGCCUCUGGCAGUAAGCAGCUGUGAUGGAUUGUUCCUGCAACGGUGGCAACAGUGGCGUUGUGUGUUCUGUGGCUAAAGCAAAUAGAUAACGACAGACAGCAUCCUUGUCUCUCUUGAUAACUUAAAUGAUGAUACAAUAGCUCAAUCCAACAACAAAAUAACAGCCAAACAAACUACUUUUUUAAGACAGCCACCACAUACACCCAUUCUACUCCAAAUAUUUUUUUCAGCAUCUAACGAUACUGCCACUUUUGGAGCAUUCCAAGUUCCCGGUAUGAUGGAUUAUAUAAAAAAAAUUCAGUAGAGAUUGCUUUUGUACUAAUAGCUGCUGUGAACAUAAGUAACAGGCUUUAGUAAUUCGUGGCAAGUGUUUUAGAAUUGUACUGGGAAUCAAUCAUUGCCAGGAAAUGUCACAUUAUCAGAUUAUUGAUGACCUCCCCCAGUUCAACCUGGGGGUAGUUUCUAGCCAUAUACACUACCGUUCAAAAGUUGAGUCACUUAGAAACAUCCUUGUUUUUGAAAGAAAAGCACAUUUUUUGGCCAUUAACAUAACAUAAAAUUGAUCAGAAAUACAGUGUAGACAUUGUUAAAUGUUGUAAAUUACUAUUGUAGCUGGAAACGGCUGAUUUUUUAUGGAAUAUCUACAUUGGUGUACAGAAGCCCAUUGUCAGCAACCAUCACUCCUGUGUUCCAAUGGCACGUUGUGUUAGCUAAUCCA